rnacentral:rRNA from 1 species
CAAUAGCGUAUAUUAAAGUUGUUGCAGUUAAAAAGCUCGUAGUUGGAUUUCGGGGCAGCCUGGCUGGUCCGCCGCAAGGCGAGUACUGGUCAGCCGCCCUUCCUCUCGAAAGCCCCGACUGCUCUUUAUUGCAGUGGUCGGGUAGUUCGGGACGUUUACUUUGAAAAAAUUAGAGUGUUCAAGGCAGGCCUACGCCUGAAUACAUUAGCAUGGAAUAAUGGAAGAGGACCUCGGUCCUAUUUUGUUGGUUUCCAGGACCGAAGUAAUGAUUAAGAGGGACAGUUGGGGGCAUUCGUAUUUAAUUGUCAGAGGUGAAAUUCUCGGAUUUAUGAAAGACGAACAACUGCGAAAGCAUUUACCAAGGAUGUUUUCAUUAA